AAUUAAGUGUAAUCUUUUGGUAGUAAAAAUAAUAAUUGAUUUUCCGCAGUAUGGCGUGAAGAUAUUUGUCCUAACGUCAUUCAAGGACACAUGCUACAUUGAAAUCAUGCCUAUUGAUCAAAAGUCCAAACGAGUUAUUUUCUUGAGUUUUUGGGCUGAGGUGCACUACAACUCCAUUUAUCCUGAAGGAGAGCUACCUGUUCCUGAAACCAAGAGGAAGAAAAGUUGGUGGCAUUUUGGACACAAACAUUAAACUUAUUUGCAAUUUCUUCCAAAAGGCUCCUACUUUUUAUUGCAGAACCCUUCUUUGUAGAACCGGUGAGCUCCAGAGGCCUGUGGGCUAUUGAGAGAGUGAGUAUUCAUGCAACAGACUGCUUUCAUCCUCGCUUGAAUCUCACACUUCACAAUCAUGUAUAUUACAGUGUAUAUAUUUUUCUUAUAGCCACCACCCCCCUCUUACAUAGUUUUCUCUUCUUAAAAGAAGC